rnacentral:rRNA from 1 species
UACGUAGGGUGCAAGCGUUGUCCGGAAUUAUUGGGCGUAAAGAGCUUGUAGGCGGUUUGUCGCGUCUGCCGUGAAAAUUCGAGGCUCAACCUCGAACUUGCGGUGGGUACGGGGCAGACUAGAGUGUGGUAGGGGGAGACUGGAAUUCCUGGUGUAGCGGUGAAAUGCGCAGAUAUCAGGAGGAACACCGAUGGCGAAGGCAGGUCUCUGGGCCACUACUGACGCUGAGAAGCGAAAGCAUGGGGAGCGAACAGG